rnacentral:rRNA from 1 species
AAGUCGAGGGGCAGCACAGGUAGCAAUACCGGGUGGCGACCGGCGCACGGGUGAGUAACGCGUAUGCAACUUACCUAUCAGAGGGGGAUAGCCCGGCGAAAGUCGGAUUAAUACCCCAUAAAACAGGGGUCCCGCAUGGGAAUAUUUGUUAAAGAUUCAUCGCUGAUAGAUAGGCAUGCGUUCCAUUAGGCAGUUGGCGGGGUAACGGCCCACCAAGGCGACGAUCGGUAGCCGGACUGAGAGGUUGAACGGCCACAUUGGGACUGAGACACGGCCCAGACUCC